AACGAACGUUAGCGGCGCGCUUAACACAUGCAAGUCGCACGAGAAAGGGCUUCGGCCCCGGUACAGUGGCGCACGGGUGAGUAACACGUGGGUAAUCUUCCCUCGGGCGGGGGAUAACAUUCCGAAAGGAGUGCUAAUACCGCAUAAGACCACGGCUUCGAAAGGAGCUGAGGUCAAAGCCGGCCUCUAUUCAUAAGCUGACACCUGAGGAUGAGCCCGCGGCCCAUCAGCUAGUUGGUAGGGUAAUGGCCUACCAAGGCAAAGACGGGUAGCUGGUCUGAGAGGAUGAUCAGCCACACUGGUACUGGGACACGGUCCAGACUCCUACGGGAGGCAGCAGUGGGGAAUCUUGCGCAAUGGGCGAAAGCCUGACGCAGCGACGCCGCGUGAGUGAUGAAGGCCUUCGGGUUGUAAAGCUCUGUGGGGAGAGACGAAUAAGUCGGAGCUAAUACCUCCGGCGAUGACGGUAUCUCCUUAGCAAGCACCGGCUAACUCUGUGCCAGCCGCCGCCGUAAUAC
rnacentral:rRNA from 1 species